UCUGUUAUUGUUGUUGUCACAUACAAUUUUCUUAACUCAAAUAUUUUGCAGAAACACAAUAGAUCUUUGCUUGAAAUUCGAAACACAAUAGAUCUUUAGUUGAAAUUCUUAGGUUUUCUCAAAUAGGGUUCUCAAAGUUUGUGCUCCAUAAGGUAUGUGGUCAAAACCCUUUUGGGUAUAUAUGUAUUUUUUCAGAUUGCAUAUAAAAAUUCUUUAACCCACUUGAAAAUUUGCAGGAAUAGAAUUCUCUAAUGUUAAAGGAGGAAGGAGUAGAGUUCAUAAUUUUUGAGGUUAUAGAGCCAACGGAAAUGAGAGGAGCUGGAUAAGAUAAAAGUGGAAGAGCAGGUGCGGGACAUGGAUGUGGACGUGGUAGCUUUCUAGAAUGUAUGAAUUCUUAAACAACAUUUCAUCCACAAAUACAAUCAAUAGGAGUUAUUGUGCCUUCUUUGGUGACUGGACAAUCAUCUAAUCCAAGCCAAGGACCUCUACAAACAAAAAAAUGUCAAGUGGACCUGUCUAAAGGACAUCCCUAGAGACACAAUCAUCAAGAAAUCUAGACAAAAUUAUACGACUUAGCCUAGAGGAUGAAACUAGUGUAGUUUCCCACAUGAAUAAAAAGAAAGGAAGAAGGAAAUACAAAUCUAAAACUAUGGAUAUUAAGAUUAAACAAGGAGGAAAAAUCAAAAUUAUGAUUCUAGAUGACAUUGAUAGAGAUGUGGGUUCUGGAGCUAAAGACAUUAUCAAUUACUCUAGUUGGAUAAUGAGAACCACUAUCUCAUUUCGAGAUGGAAAUUGGCAGAAGAUAGUUUUAAAGCAUGGAAAAGCAAUGUGGCUUAAGGUCAGGGUAAUCACUCUUAAUAUUGUGUUGCCUUUAUGUUUUAUGAUUUAUAUAUAUGCAAUUAGAAUAUCAAAUAUACUGUUACAUUGUGUGUAGGAUAAAUUUGAAGUUCAAAAUGGGCUACCAGAGUAUAAGUUCCAAGGCUUUGUGAUAAGCACUAUGCAAAUACUUUUUAGAGCAUGGAAAGCUUGAUUACAUGUUGUCUACUCUAGCUAUAAUAAUGAUAAAUAUAGAUUGUCUCAUCGACCUGAGGAUGUUGAGUUGGAUCACUGGAAGCCCCUAGUGGAACAUUAUGGCAGUUAUAAAUUAAAGGGAUAAAUUCAGCAACUUGUCGUUGAACAACAAUCAGAAGAGUUCGAGAAUCUCAUGACUAGCAAUGAGAUUUUAUCUUCGGUUCUUGGUGAGAGAUCAAGAUAUGUUUGGGGAAAAAGAUAUAGGAAGAAGCCUCUUAAAAAGAGUCAAAUGCAGCUGGAAAACAUUGAGGCCACCGUGUCUUCAGCGGUAGAAAGUAUGCAUCAAGAGAUGUAACUUGACAUAGAAAGAAAGUUGCAAGAAGAGUGUAAACAAAUGGAUGCCGACUUGAAAAGAGAUAUGGAUCAGGAUUUGCAAAAGAAAUUGGAAGAGGAAUGUGAACACAUGAAAAAAGAAGUAGAAAAAAUAUUUCAAGAAAAAAUGGCUGCACUCAUGGCUGGAAUGCAACAAGUAUUUUCUUAACUAGAAUUCAGUUUUUAGAUUGUAACAACUUCAACUGUUUGUCUCCUCUCCUUUCAAUCAUGGCUACUUAGAUGAUUUUCCCCUGA